rnacentral:rRNA from 1 species
CGAAGAACCUUACCAGGUCUUGACAUCUCGAUGCUAUUUCUAGAGAUAGAAAGUUACUUCGGUACAUCGGUGACAGGUGGUGCAUGGUUGUCGUCAGCUCGUGUCGUGAGAUGUUGGGUUAAGUCCCGCAACGAGCGCAACCCCUAUUGUUAGUUGCCAUCAUUCAGUUGGGCACUCUAGCGAGACUGCCGGUAAUAAACCGGAGGAAGUGGGGAUGACGUCAAAUCAUCAUGCCCCUUAUGACCUGGGCUACACACGUGCUACAAUGGUUGGUACAACGAGUUGCGAGUCGGUGACGGCGAGCUAAUCUCUUAAAGCCAAUCUCAGUUCGGAUUGUAGGCUGCAACUCGCCUACAUGAAGUCGGAAUCGCUAGUAAUCGCGGAUCAGCACGCCGCGGUGAAUACGUUCCCGGGCCUU